UACGGGGGGGGCAAGCGUUGUUCGGAAUUACUGGGCGUAAAGGGCUCGUGGGCGGCCAACUAAGUCAGACGUGAAAUCCCUCGGCUUAACCGGGGAACUGCAUCUGAUACUGGCAAGCUCGAGUCCGGAAGAGGCGAGUGGAAUUCCUGGUGUAGCGGUGAAAUGCGCAGAUAUCAGGAGGAACACCAAUGGCGAAGGCAGCUCGCUGGGACGUGACUGACGCUGAGACGCGAAAGCGUGGGGAGCAAACAGG
rnacentral:rRNA from 1 species